CCUCAUUUUAUCAAGCUUGAGGCAUCCCGUCGUGGAACUCUCACCAUCCUAGACCCUUAGGUGCUGGUAACCGGACCCAGCCCCAAGCUUAGUUUAACUUUUAAUGUUAAGCUGGCUUUCCAGCUAUCUUACUCUCCAGGCCUGCACAUCUGGAAUCAUUCACGUCGUGGCGGUUGAAGUUUCCACUAAUUCAAAUGGAAUGCUAGGGAUGGAGGCCACUGGGAGGCCUUCAGCGUCCCUCAGUCCAGGCAAGUCAUUCCACUGUAAGAAAAGCCAUUUGUCAACAAGCAUCCUAGAAAGGGCUCACUAGGGCAGAGCCCUGAACUCAGAACUGGAAAAAGUGCAGCGCUGGAUGUGGUGGCCCGGAGGGCAACAGAAACCUAACUAAGGUGGUGUGCAGGUGUUCAUGACUAAAGGAGAUGCCCCAGCGAGUUGCAGAGCUCAGCAAGGUUCCACGAGAACCUGGCCACGCUGGAAUAUCCAUGGAUGUAGCCCAAGCGGGAAGGAAACUCUUGAUGGCACCUGGAACUCUUGACGCACACUGGAAGCAGAACUACGAUUCCAGCGCUGAGGGAGAUCUAUCCCCUAGGGUGUGCGGCCCUGUGCUUUCUGACCAACCAAGACUCAUGAGGUCCCCACAGAGACCCCCCAAACCUCCGCAAUACGCAGGAGUGUUUAAGAGGUGUGUAUGUCCCAUACUGAGCCUCGGCAGAACACGAAGGCUGGGAGCCCAGACCUGGGCUUCAGCUCACUCUUCUGAUCUCAUCUCUCCAGCUGUAAAAUAAGGAUGUCCCCACUGUCCUCCAUGCACCAUCCUUGGAGAAGGGUAAGAGUUACACAAAACCCACCUCCGUAGGAAGGUAGCCAGGUACCGUCCUGUGACCUCACCCACACAGACGGUAUCCUUCUAACUCUCAGACACAAAAUACUUCCACAAACACUCCAGUUGAUCUUGAGGUCCAUGGACUUGGGUAGACUAUAGAGACUGAAGGAAGCAGGAGUCCAUUGUCCACCAUACCCCCUCACCACCCCCACCCCAGUUCUGCAGUCAAGCCCUAAUUGCCACGUUGUUGGGGGAGAGAUUUUACAGAUUUCAUAAAGGCCUAAUUAGUUGACUUUAACUAAAGAAGUUACCCUUAGUGGGCUCAACUCAAUUAGGCAGCGGGACUGAGCUUUUCCUGGCAAGGAAGGAAGGAUGGCAGAUGGACCCACAGACAGACUGAAAGGCUCCAUCAGCUGAUAGACCCCCAGUGGCUUCCCCCUUCCUUUCCUGCACACCCCCCUUCCAGACGGCUGUGCACAGCCGCAGACGUGCAUGGAAAUCUUUCCAGUGCAGAUUUCGGCCUUGUUUACCCAUCCAACCCCACAGUCUGCCGAGCCUCUGUGUAAGACAGAUCUUUACAUACGCCGUCUCCCACGGCUUUCCUGUCUAGCUGAGUCCUAACUGAGACACAUUUCCCACAAGUGUUAACUUGGGUGUAAAAUAAAGCUACUUCCUCUGUUCCACGUUAAACACUGUAAAGUAUCCAAGAACUGAUGCAAAUAAAAUAGAGCUGUUUCUCA